rnacentral:rRNA from 1 species
GACGAACGCUGGCGGCGUGCUUAACACAUGCAAGUCGAACUAAGUGGCGAACGGGUGAUUAACGCGUAAUCAACCUGCCCCUCAAGGGGGGAUAACAGUAGGAAACGACUGCUAAUACCGCAUACCGCAGGGGGGGAUUGCGUCUGAUUAGCUAGUUGGAGGGGUCACGGCCCACCAGGGCGAUGAUCAGUAGCCUGUCUGAGAGGAGGAACGGCCACAGUGGGAAUGAGACACGGCCCAGACUCCUACGGGAGGCAGCAGUGGGGAAUCGUCCGCAAUGGACGAAAGUCUGACGGAGCAACGCCGCGUGAGUGAUGACGGCCUUCGGGUUGUAAAGCUCUGUUAAUCGGGACGCGGUACCGGAAUAGAAAGCCACGGCUAACUACGUGCCAGCAGCCGCGGUAAUAC